UCCUCCACGGUUCAUACUUUUAUCCCCUAUUUUCUCCCACUUUUUUUUACAAGUAUGUUAUUAUGCUUUGUCUCCAACCAGAAAUCUUUCUAUGGAUGCAACUAAACUAACUGUUGAUAUGGACCCAAGAAAAAAGAUGCAAAAGCCGCUCAAUCCAGAACUACAUCCAGAUCCCAUCUGCUGGGCAUAAACUCACCUAUGGAAAUUACGAAUCAGCUUCAUACGAAAAUAACACACCAACUUGAGGGCCUUCAUUCAUUCCUGAAUCCUAGAAGAACAACCAGGUUACCAGUACAUGCUGCUUAAAUGGUCAUACCCACAUCUACUCAAACCUUAUACAUAGUAACACAAAUUAUCGUGUUUCACUGAUGGUCCUCAGGAAACUACAACAACUGCUAUGGUUCUUAUGUAACGAACUUGUAUCCGUCAUAAUUUAAUGAAAAUACAUUAUGUCAAUUAUUUAA